rnacentral:tRNA from 1 species
GCCCCCAUCGUCUAGCGGUCAGGACGGCACCCUUUCAAGGUACAAACAGGGGUUCGACUCCCCUUGGGGGCACCA